AAAAUGAUAUUUCUUCUUCUUCUUCUGCUUCUUCUGCUGCUGCUUCUUCUGCUUCUUCUGCUUCUUCUUCUUCUUCUUCUUCUUCUUCUUCUUCUUCUUCUUCUUCUUCUUCUUCUUCUUCUUCUUCUUCUUCGUUUUUAAUGAUCCGUGGCAUUACUAGCUUUCCCUCAUGUUCACCUCUCAAUCUCUGCCCACUAUGGAAUGAUAGUCUCCUCCUAGCUGCCUUUGGAUCAAGAAAAGGAACUCUUGGCUCAUCCAGCACCAUGCAUGCCUGGAUGCUGCCAUGCUUCCUGCCAUGAUGAUGAUGGACUGCACCUCUGAAAUUAUAAGCCAGCCCCAAUUAAACAUUUUGUUUUUUCUUAAAAAAUGAUAUUUUAUGAACUGUAGAGAUGGUGUAGUGGUUAAGAUCACUGGGUGUUCUUCCAGAGGACCUGGGUUUAAUUCUCAGCACUGACAUUGUGGCUCACAUAUGUCUUCAACUCCAGUUCUAGGGGCUCAGAUGUCUCUCUGGCUUUUGCCAGCUUUGCAUGACAUGGUGAGCAUAUAUGUGUGCACCAUAAACUGAUAAUAAAAAUAAACAUUGAAGUUGACAACAUAUAAAAUAAUAAUAAAUCUUUAAGCUAAUGAAGGAAAGCUUACUACUGUAAAACCUGGAUAGGACGUUCCUUCUUCAUGAUGGCUCCUAAGUCUCGGGGGCAGGGCAUAUGACAUAGAUACCCCAUUUGUAUUCUGCAGACACACAUUCUCUGCACCCCAACCACACAUUUCUUCCUUUCUUUAUGUUUCAUCUUUUCAAGACAAGGUUUCUAUGUAUACACCUGCCUGUGCUGGAACUCUCUGUGUAGAUCAGAGAGGUUCCCACUAAUUCAGAGAUCUGUCUAUCUUUGAAUCCAGAAUGCUGGAAUUAAAGGCAUAAUCCAUCAAGCCCAUCCAACAACACAUCCCUAAUCAACAUAUGCGAAAUAAAACAAAAAGGACGUGAGUAAAUAAAGAUAUGCAACCAAAUGUAAAGAAGAAAGUUAGAAUAGGUCUCAGCAAGAAUUAAAUAUGGAAUAGAAAUGAUAAAGAAAUUCAAUGGAAACAAAUUUUUUUCAAAAGUUUCCUGAACUUCAUAGACAAUUGUAUAGUCUGACUAAAGAACACAAAAUAUACUAGAACUGUGUAAUCACAAAUCAAAGAGAAGCCCCAAAAACCUUGUAAAGUAAUAUAAUUACAAGAGAAUACUCUGAAAAUAUUAUGAAAAUUUCAAGUACACAUUGUAUAAUACAGACAGCACCCAUUCGCAGGAACCUGAACACCUGAAAACCAAUCACCUGAAGAAAGUUAGCAAACGUCUAAAGAGAGAGAGAUCCAUUUAAAGAUACAAGUCAGCAGUUAGACAUCCAGAGCCAGCGGUAAGAGCCUUCUAGUAAGGAAAUUGCAGAAAGGACAUUGCUGUUCUAGGGAAUUCAGCCGAGAAGAAUGCUCAGAUUUUUUUUGGAUUAAUUACUUUAUUUCCUGACUGCAGUUUCCCCUCCGUGCUUCCUCCACUACCUAACUCCUCAAAAAUGUUGUUUAAGCCAAUAGAAACUCUUCAUUAGCUGGCCCUAAUUAUUGUAAAUGUUUGGCAUUCCAGUAUAGAAUGGAGCUUAAACCAGAUUUCAGAAGAGAAAAACAUUAUUAAGUGGCCUAAAACCGUGCUUGUGAUCUUUUGGUGAAGAAAUGUGGUUGCCUUUUGCUCCUGUCCAAAAAUACAAAACAAAAC
rnacentral:lncRNA from 1 species